rnacentral:rRNA from 1 species
GCUGGCGGCACGCCUUAUACAUGCAAGUCGAACGAAGUAGCAAUACUUAGUGGCAGACGGGUGAGUAACAUGUAGGUAUCUUCCCUUUGGUGAGGAAUAACACGAGGAAACUUGUGCUAAUACCUCAUAAGUCUUUACGGAGAAAGCUUUAUGCGCCGAAGGAUGAGCCUGCACUUGAUUAGUUUGUUGGUGGGGUAAUGGCCUACCAAGACUUUGAUCUAUAGCUGAUCUGAGAGGAUGAUCAGCCACAUUGGGACUGAGACACGGCCCAAACUCCUACGGGAGGCAGCAGUAGGGAAUAUUGCACAAUGGAGGAAACUCUGAUGCAGCGAUGCCGCGUGAGUGAAGAAGGCCUUUGGGUUGUAAAGCUCUUUCGUCGGGGAAGAAAAUGACUGUACCCGAAUAAGAAGGUCCGGCUAACUUCGUGCCAGCAGCCGCGGUAAUACGAAGGGACCUAGCGUAGUUCGGAAUUACUGGGCUUAAAGAGUUCGUAGGUGGUUAAAAAAGUUGGUGGUGAAAUCCCAGAGCUUAACUCUGGAACUGCCAUCAAAACUUUUUAGCUAGAGUAUGAUAGAGGAAAGCAGAAUUUCUAGUGUAGAGGUGAAAUUCGUAGAUAUUAGAAAGAAUACCAAUUGCGAAGGCAGCUUUCUGGAUCAUUACUGACGCUGAGGAACGAAAGCAUGGGUAGCGAAGAGGAUUAGAUACCCUCGUAGUCCAUGCCGUAAACGAUGUGUGUUAGACGUUGGAAAUUUAUUUUCAGUGUCGCAGCGAAAGCAUUAAACACACCGCCUGGGGAGUACG